rnacentral:rRNA from 1 species
UACAGAGGUCUCAAGCGUUUGUUCGGAUUCAUUGGGCGUAAAGGGUGCGUAGGUGGCGCGGUAAGUCGGGUGUGAAAUUUCGGAGCUUAACUCCGAAACUGCAUUCGAUACUGCCGUGCUUGAGGACUGGAGAGGAGACUGGAAUUUACGGUGUAGCAGUGAAAUGCGUAGAUAUCGUAAGGAAGACCAGUGGCGAAGGCGGGUCUCUGGACAGUUCCUGACACUGAGGCACGAAGGCCAGGGGGAGCAAACGGG